rnacentral:rRNA from 1 species
GGUUUGAUCCUGGCUCAGAUUAGCCCGCUGGCGGGAUGCUUUUACACAUGCAAGUCGAACGGCAGCACGGACUUCGGUCUGGUGGCGAGUGGCGAACGGUGAGAAGGUCGGGAACGUGUGCCUAGUAGCGGGGGAUAACUACGCGAAAGCGUGCAGCUAAUACCGCAUACGCCCUUCGGGGGAAAGCGGGGGGACCUCGGGCCUCGCACUAUUAGAGCGGCCGAUAUCGGAUUAGCUAGUUGGUGGGGUAGCGGCUCACCAAGGCGACGAUCCGUAGCUGGUUUGAGAGGACGACCAGCCACUGGGACUGAGACACGGCCCAGACUCCUACGGAGGUGGCACAGCAGUGGGGAAUUUUGGACAAUGGGGAAACCCCGAUCCAGCCAUCCUGGCGUGGUGCGAUGAAGGCCUUCGGGUUGUAAAGCACUUUUGGCAGGAAAGAAACGGCACGUGAUACUCCGUGCAACUGACGGUACCUGCAGAAUAAGCACCGGCUAACUACGUGCCAGCAGCCGCGGUAAUACGUAGGGUGCAAGCGUUAAUCGGAAUUACUGGGCGUAGCGUGCAGGCGGUUCGGAAAGAAAGAUGAAAUCCCAGAGCUUAACUUUGGAACUGCAUUUUUAACUACCGAGCUAGAGUGUGUCAGAGGGAGGUGGAAUUCGCGUGUAGCAGUGAAAUGCAGAUAUGGGUGGAGGAACACCGAUGGCGAAGGCAGCCUCCUGGGAUAACACUGACGCUCAUGCACGAAAGCGUGGGGAGCAAACAGGAUUAGAUACCCCUGUAGUCUCACGCCCAAACGAUGUCAACUAGCUGUUGGGGCCUUCGGGCCUUGGUAGCGCAGCUAACGCGUGAAGUUGACCGCCUGGGGAGUACGGUCAAGAUUAAAACUCAAAGGAAUUGACGGGGACUCCGCACAAGCGGUGGAUGAUGUGGAUUAAUUCGAUGCAACGCGAAAACCUUUACCUACCCUUGACAUGUUCGGAAUCCCGAAGAGAUUUGGGAGCGCUGCAAGAGAGCUGAACACAGGUGCUGCAAUGGUCGUCGUCAAAAAUGUGAGAUGUUGCUGUCCUGCAACGAGCGCCAAAUCCUGACAGUUGCUACGAAAGGCACCGACGAGACUGCCGGUGACAAACCGGAGGAAGGUGGGAUGACGCUGUCCCUUGGUGGCCUCAUGGGGUAGGGCUUCACACGUCAUACAAUGGUCGGGACAGAGGGUCGCCAACCCGCGAGGGGGGAGCUAAUCCCAGAAACCCGAUCGUAGUCCGGAUCGCAGUCUGCAACUCGACUGCGUGAAGUCGGAAUCGCUAGUAAUCGCGGAUCAGCAUGUCGCGGUGAAUACGUUCCCGGGUCUUGUACACACCGCCCGUCGCACCAUGGAGUGGGUUUUACCAGGAAGAAGAAUUUCUGGGAACCUGGGAGCAGGGCGAUUACCACGGUAGAUUCAUGACUGGGGUGAAGUCGUAACAAGGUAG